rnacentral:rRNA from 1 species
GACGAACGCUGGCGGCGUGCCUAAUACAUGCAAGUUGAGCGCUGAAGGUUGGUACUUGUACCAACUGGAUGAGCAGCGAACGGGUGAGUAACGCGUGGGGAAUCUGCCUUUGAGCGGGGGACAACAUUUGGAAACGAAUGCUAAUACCGCAUAAAAACUUUAAACACAAGUUUUAAGUUUGAAAGAUGCAGUUGCAUCACUCAAAGAUGAUCCCGCGUUGUAUUAGCUAGUUGGUGAGGUAAAGGCUCACCAAGGCGAUGAUACAUAGCCGACCUGAGAGGGUGAUCGGCCACAUUGGGACUGGGACACGGCCCAAACUCCUACGGGAGGCAGCAGGAGGGAAUCCUCGGCAAUGGAGGAAAGUCUGACCGAGCAACGCCGCGUGAGUGAAGAAGGGUUUCGGAUCGUAAAACUCUGUUGGUAGAGAAGAACGUUGGUGAGAGUGGAAAGCUCAUCAAGUGACGGUAACUACCCAGAAAGGGACGGCUAACUACGUG